AUGUGCCCAUAUGUGAUGUUAACCCUGACGGGAUGAAGGAAUUUAAUAUUCUUUCAGUGUGAUUCAGGAGAGCAUUUGUUUUAUUUUCUACCAACUAACCCAGCUUUGCUUUUAAACACACUAUCUGAGGGAGCGGAGAGGCAGGGUUGAAGACAGAAGAGGGGCUACGUAGUGACUAAAGAAUGUUUCUGUUUUGUAAUUAUUGUGUGUGGGUGGGUUUUGUUUAAGAGAAUUGAAAACUGUAAAACAGAGAAUACAGGAAAUGGCUCUUGGUUUUUUGUUUGUUUGUUUGUUUGUUUAUUUGUUUUUGCCCUGUUAACAGCUUGUUAAUGCUCCACUGUCUUUGCUUCAAAACAGAUUUGUUCACUGCCCAGGUAGUUUUGUGUCCUGAGUCCUAUACCCUGCCCACCCUAUAAAUCAAUCAAUGCCUGGUUUAGAUGUUUGGUUUUGUUCUCUUUGUUAUUGUCAUUUUAAAGAUAUAUAACUCAGAUGUGCAGACAUCAAAUUAAGCUCUCAUUUAAAUGUUUUGACAUCUAAUUUGUAUUCUAAUUGAGCCCAGCCACUGAUGCAUGUACUUUAGCUACUUCUGCUAAAUAAGCAUAUUAUUUUCCCACACCACGCCAUCAGAAUUUAAUAACCAACAGUUAUCUAGAACCCCAUGUCUACUAAUGUUUCACCUGCAUGCAGCCUUCAUUGAUUUUGCAGCAAAAUAUAAAGUAAUUGUUACAUAGCUUCUGGCUUAAAAAAAGUUUUGUGUGUUAAGUUGCCUUGUAAAGAGCAUGUCGAAUUAAUGGGACAGAGCGUCCUUUGUGUUAGAUGUUAGAGCAAAAGAAAGGCCUUAUAGUGUUGGUAUUGGAACACGAAAUAUCUAUCCUGAAGAUAUUUUAAGGAAGGAUAUAGGACUUUAAAUUUUAAAUUUUAGAAAAAGAAAUGAUGCCAAUUGGCAACUGUCAUAAUGAAGUUCUUCAUCCAGCAGGUGUUUAACAGUGUUAUUUUGCCAUUAAUAAUGUGUAAACUGUGAGUGAUUUACAAUAAAUGAUUAUGAAUU